rnacentral:rRNA from 1 species
UACGUAGGGUGCGAGCGUUAAUCGGAAUUACUGGGCGUAAAGCGUGCGCAGGCGGUUCGCCAAGUCAGGUGUGAAAUCCCCGGGCUUAACCUGGGAAUUGCGCUUGAAACUAGCGGGCUUGAGUGUGGCAGAGGGGGGUGGAAUUCCACGUGUAGCAGUGAAAUGCGUAGAGAUGUGGAGGAACACCGAUGGCGAAGGCAGCCCCCUGGGCCAACACUGACGCUCAGGCACGAAAGCGUGGGGAGCAAACAGG